rnacentral:misc_RNA from 1 species
UAAUAAGUGUUUUACGGCACUUCUUAAAUCCAUAUCCACCUUGUGUGCAAUGUCAGUCGAUCUUCUUCAUGGAGAUCGACCAAACAUCAACCUUUAUCUUUUAACAUCUUUGUCUGAAAAAUAUUAUGAAUAAACAAUUCAAAAUA